GAGGGUACAGCUCAGUGGUAGAGCACAUGCUUGGCAUGCGGGAGGUCUUGGGUUCAAGCCCUGGUAACUCCA
rnacentral:tRNA from 1 species